GCACUCCUACGGGGCGCAGCAGUGGGGGAUAUUGCACAAUGGGGGAAACCCUGAUGCAGCGACGCCGCGUGGGUGAAGAAGCGCCUCGGCGCGUAAAGCCCUGUCAGCAGGGAAGAAAAUGACGGUACCUGAAGAAGAAGCCCCGGCUAACUACGUGCCAGCAGCCGCGGUAAUACGUAGGGGGCAAGCGUUAUCCGGAUUUACUGGGUGGAAAGGGGGCGCAGACGGCGAUGCAGGCCAGGAGUGAAAGCCCGGGGCCCAACCCAGGGACGGCUCUUGGAACUGCGUGGCUAG
rnacentral:rRNA from 1 species